GACGAACGCUGGCGGCGUGCUUAACACAUGCAAGUCGAGCGGAAAGGCCCUUCGGGGUACUCGAGCGGCGAACGGGUGAGUAACACGUGAGUAACCUGCCCUAGACUUUGGGAUAACCCUCGGAAACGGGGGCUAAUACCGGAUACUCCUUCUAAAUCGCAUGAUUUGGGUGGGAAAGUUUUUCGGUCUGGGAUGGACUCGCGGCCUAUCAGCUUGUUGGUGGGGUAAUGGCCUACCAAGGCGAGGACGGGUAGCCGGCCUGAGAGGGCGACCGGCCACACUGGGACUGAGACACGGCCCAGACUCCUACGGGAGGCAGCAGUGGGGAAUAUUGCACAAUGGGCGGAAGCCUGAUGCAGCGACGCCGCGUGAGGGAUGACGGCCUUCGGGUUGUAAACCUCUUUCAGCAGGGACGAAGCGUAAGUGACGGUACCUGCAGAAGAAGCGCCGGCCAACUACGUG
rnacentral:rRNA from 1 species